GGUUGUGACUCAGCGGUAGAGUACUUGCCUCGCACAUCCAAGACCCUGGGUUCAAUCCUCAGCACCA
rnacentral:tRNA from 1 species